rnacentral:ncRNA from 1 species
GUGUUGUAUGAAAGGAGAGAAGAUUAGCAUUCCCAUUGAUAAGAAUGGAAGAAAAGUCCUAGUGGCCUUUAUACAUACAGUUAAGACAACUAAUGUGGAAAUUUGUUU